rnacentral:rRNA from 1 species
UACAGAGGCCCCAAGCGUUACUGAGAAUCACUGGGUUUAAAGGGUGCGUAGGUGGCGCGUUAAGUCCAUUGUGAAAGCCCUGGGCUCAACCCAGGAACUGCUUCGGAUACUGGCGCGCUUGAGGCUAGUAGGGGUCACUGGAACUGACGGUGGAGCGGUGAAAUGCGUAGAUAUCGUCAGGAACGCCAAUGGUGAAGACAGGUGACUGGGCUAGUUCUGACACUGAGGCACGAAAGCGUGGGGAGCGAACGGG